AGCGAACGCUGGCGGCAGGCCUAAUACAUGCAAGUCGAGCGCACCUUCGGGUGAGCGGCGGACGGGCGAGUAACGCGUGGGAACGUGCCCUUUGGUACGGGAUAACUGAGGGAAACUUCAGCUAAUACCGUAUGUGCCCUACGGGGGAAAGAUUUAUCGCCAUUGGAGCGGCCCGCGUUGGAUUAGCUAGUUGGUGGGGUAAAGGCUCACCAAGGCUACGAUCCAUAGCUGGUCUGAGAGGAUGAUCAGCCACACUGGGACUGAGAUACGGCCCAGACUCCUACGGGAGGCAGCAGUAGGGAAUCUUGCGCAAUGGGCGAAAGCCUGACGCAGCCAUGCCGCGUGAAUGAUGAAGGUCUUAGGAUUGUAAAAUUCUUUCACCGGGGAAGAUAAUGACGGUACCCGGAGAAGAAGCCCCGGCUAACUUCGUGCCAGCCGCCGCCGUAAAAC
rnacentral:rRNA from 1 species